GACGAACGCUGGCGGCGUGCCUCAAACAUGCAAGUCGAGCGAAGGGAAUCCAAACCGCAAGGGGAGGAUGAACUUAGCGGCGAACGGGUGAGUAACACGUGGGCAACCUGCCCAGAAGACUGGGAUAACGACUCGAAAGGGUCGCUAAUACCGGAUAAUGUCGGUACUUCGCAUGAAGGGCCGAAGAAAGGGGAAACCCGCUUUUGGAUGGGCUCGCGUCCCAUCAGCUAGUUGGUAGGGUAACGGCCUACCAAGGCGACGACGGGUAGCCGGUCUGAGAGGAUGAACGGCCACACUGGGACUGAGAUACGGCCCAGACUCCUGCGGGAGGCAGCAGUUGGGAAUAUUGGGCAAUGGGCGAAAGCCUGACCCAGCGACGCCGCGUGAGGGAAGAAGGCCUUCGGGUCGUAAACCUCUGUCAUUGGGACGAAGAAAGUGACGGUACCCGAACGGAGGAAGCCCCUGCUAACUACGUG
rnacentral:rRNA from 1 species